UUCCGGUUGAUCCUGCCGGACCUGACUGCUAUCGGAUUGAUACUAAGCCAUGCUAGUCUUUGUAGUAAUACAAGGCAUACGGCUCAGUAACGCGUAGUCAACUUACCCUAUGGACGGGGAUAAUCUCGGGAAACUGAGCAUAAUACCCGGUAGACCACUUCUCCUGGAAUGGUUAGUGGUUAAAAUGAUUCGUCGCCAUAGGAUGGGACUGCGGCCUAUCAGCUUGUUGGUGAGGUAAUGGCCCACCAAGGCGAUUACAGGUACGGGCUCUGAGAGGAGAAGCCCGGAGAUGGGUACUGAGACAAGGACCCAGGCCCUAUGGGGCGCAGCAGGCGAGAAAACUUUGCAAUGUGCGAAAGCACGACAAGGUUAAUCCGAGUGAUUUCUGCUAAAGGAAUCUUUUGUUAGUUCUAAAUCUACUAGUGAAUAAGGGGUGGGCAAGUUCUGGUGUCAGCCGCCGCGGUAAAACCAGCACCUCAAGUGGUCAGGAGGAUUAUUGGGCCUAAAGCAUCCGUAGCCGGCUCUGUAAGUUUUCGGUUAAAUCCAUAUGCUCAACGUAUAGGCUGCCGAAAAUACUGCACAGCUAGGGAAUGGGAGAGGUAGACGGUACUCGGUAGGAAGGGGUAAAAUCCUUUGAUCUAUCGAUGACCACCUGUGGCGAAGGCGGUCUACCAGAACAUGUUCGACGGUGAGGGAUGAAAGCUGGGGGAGCAAACCGGAUUAGAUACCCGGGUAGUCCCAGCUGUAAACGAUGCAGACUCGAUAAUGCACUGGCACAUAGCCAGUGCAGUGUCGCAGGGAAGCCGUUAAGUCUGCCGCCUGGGAAGUACGUACGCAAGUAUGAAACUUAAAGGAAUUGGCGGGGGAGCACCACAAGGGGUGAAGCCUGCGGUUCAAUUGGAUUCAACGCCGGG
rnacentral:rRNA from 1 species